UACGCACGCUGGCGGCGUGCUUAACACAUGCAAGUCGAACGGAAAGGCCCUGCUUGCAGGGUACUCGAGUGGCGAACGGGUGAGUAACACGUGGGUGAUCUGCCCUGCACUUCGGGAUAAGCCUGGGAAACUGGGUCUAAUACCGGAUAGGAGCCAUUUUUAGUGUGAUGGUUGGAAAGUUUUUUCGGUGUAGGAUGAGCUCGCGGCCUACCAGCUUGUUGGUGGGGUAAUGGCCUACCAAGGCGGCGACGGGUAGCCGGCCUGAGAGGGUGGACGGCCACAUUGGGACUGAGAUACGGCCCAGACUCCUACGGGAGGCAGCAGUGGGGAAUAUUGCACAAUGGGCGCAAGCCUGAUGCAGCGACGCCGCGUGGGGGAUGACGGCCUUCGUGUUGUAAACUCCUUUCGCUAGGGACGAAGCUUUUUGUGACGGUACCUAGAUAAGAAGCACCGGCUAACUACG
rnacentral:rRNA from 1 species